UCUUACAUCUAUUUGGGUUAGCGAGUCACUAGCAUUUUAGAAUGUGGGGCUCCUCAACUGUAAAAAUGGAGACAAUAAUAUAUACUACCUCUCUGGGCUCUUGUCAUAGUUACAUUAGAAAAAGAUGUGAAUGCACUUUUGAACCAAGAAACAUAGCAGUACAGUUGUGGCAGAUUGUUACAAUACUUGUCCUAGAUGAAUCACACCUCACUGUGUCCACUGCCCUUUAAAGUGGGACUGCCAUGCUUCCCAUCAAGAGAUACUGUUUCCUCACCCUUAGACUGGAGUUGAACCCCUAUCUUAUUUUUAUCAAGAGAAUGUAGUGGGAGAGGCAUGUAACUUGUUGGCUAGCCUUCCUAUAUAGCCCUCUUCAUGCUCAGAGACCACCAUAAUCUAAAGAAGCUCAGGAGGUGAGACUCCAUGAAGAGAGGAGCCCAGCUGCCCCAGUCUCUAGCGAUCCCAGCUGAGGCCUUGAUGAGUUCCGCUGGAGAACCCUCCCUGCCUCAGAGAGCAUAUCUGCUGGCUACAGUCACAUCACUGAGCCAGCUACACACAGUUGCCAGCUUCUCUUGCAGUUCUAUGUGGCCCUGUGAUCCAGCUCCACCCGAUAUAAGUAUGUUACUUCCGGGACCAACCAAAGGAAUUCUGGGAUCUCAAACUUUUGAAAACCAACAGCCAUACAACACUGCAACAAUCAUCAUAGGUCUGUUUUACAAAUGGUUAACCGGUAGAAGUGAAUCAAUGAGCCAGACUGCAGCAUACUCUUGAGUCAUUUACACCUGCCACCAGAGAAGUUUUAUUUUUCACACAUGUUAUGCUCAUCAUCCAUAAGACCAAAGACCUACCAACCACAGGUUCAAAAUCUCAGCUCUGCAAAGAAAAAAGAGUAAUUGUAUCAAUCUACUAAAUGAUACUCCAAAGUAGAUAACCGUGGUCUUUUAUGGAUUUCUUUGCCAUUCUUGACAGGAAGUGGUAGCUAUUUUUAAUCAUACAAACUUAAAGACUAAAACAGAAGCUAUUAGAUUUUCCAAGGAGGAAAGCCCCCUUCUGAAGAGAACAAUACAGUUUCUUUCUUGUCAUCUUAUGGGUUUCAUUCCAUUCUCAAAUACAUCCUGAGGAAAGAUGAACUGACAGUCACCAGAAGCAAGGUCAUACCUUUUAGAUCACCAAUUUGCUUUAGGGGACCUAGAAGCCCAUCUUGGAAUCAUCUCUCUUGCCCACCUGUGUGCCUGCCUUACCAGCCAGAGAUGGUCUCCAGGCAGAGGCUUCCUUCAUUCGGCAACCAUCCUGAGCACCCACUAUGUGUGCAUGCUAGAAAUACAGUGAUAUACAAAGGAGUCUCAGUUCCUGUUCGUGAAAUGAGUGUAUAGUGUAGUAGGGAGACACAGAUAUUUUAAAAGGUAAUUACACAUGUCUUACCAUCAAAAAUAGCAAGCUAGCUGAUUUGGACAAGACUUCUUACUGAAAAGAACUAAGAAAUUGGUCAAAAUGCAUUCAAAGGAAUAUUAGUGUGAAUUAGAGCUGAAAAUACAGUGAAGGAAGAUGAGAACCUGCAAGCUGCUUCUGCACUGAGAGCAUUUGCUGAUUUGGAAAAAAAUUCAACUCUCCUUCAAACAGCCUCAGUGAGCAAGGAGGACGGAAAUAAAAACCCAGAGUCUGCAAACAGUGAAGGGUCUGACAUGAGAUCCUCCCCAAAUAAUAAGCUGGAACACGAAAGGGCUACAGGGCAAGGGUGAACUGGAAAGGUAUCACUUCUUUCUUUAAAUUGCCUAAGUUCUGCAGAAAACAGUCUCAAAUUUCAUCUCUCCAAUAUUAAAGUGGCCUCCAGGUAAAAGGCAAAAGCCAAAGGAAGUCUUAUCUGGAGGAAGAUACUUUCACCGUAGACCUCUAUAAAUUUCUGUUCUUUCAGGGAAAGAGGAAGACAUAUGCUUAGAUUUAUGGUUGUUUCAGGGGAGCUGGUGAAAUGUAGCUCAAGACUUUUGGAAUAGUUCAGGAGAGGAAUGGGAGAAGAAACUAAAGCGAGUGAAAUAAAACAACACUGAGUAGUAAGAAGAGCCCAAGUGAUCCUUGAGCCAGAGAUUGUAACAUUGUCUAUGAUCCUUCUGGGCAAUGUAUGCUUCCCGGACCUUCGUCAUCAGCACCAUCUGAGAGAUUAUGGGAAAUAGACUCUCAAGCCUGACCCCAGACCUACGGAAUCGGAAUCUGCAUUUUAACAAAAUCCCUAGGUGAUUCGUAUGCACAUUAAAGUUUGAAAUAAUGAAUGGGAAUAAUGAAACCUGAUCUAGAUCAGUGAGAAUGGGAAAAGAGAAUGACUGUUAGAUAUGUAGCUGCUGCCCAUUACGAUGUUAGAGGCCAUGGGUUGGCUAACAGACUCUGUAGUUUCUAACUUAAGCACCAGAAAGAUGAUGCUUCAACAGGCUUUCAAACCCCAUGGCAUGCACAAAGCCAUUAGGAAGGCAAAUGGUAUUACACAAUUUUUUUUGUCCCACUUGUUGCUUUGGCUUAGAGAAAAUGGACAGUUAGAGUUUCCAUGUGAUUUGAGUGGAAGUGUAAUUGGAAUUCAGUAUCUUGAGUCUGGAACCACUAAUUGUUCUGCUGAGCAUAAUAUUGGACAAAGUAUUUUCCAAGUGUGAUGAGCAAAACUAAAUCCAAAAAAAAAAAAAAAUCAACUUUCCAGGAGAUGGUUGGAGUCAGCCAGCCUCUGCUCCACUGUAACCAUGUGGGAUAAAAAAAAAAGGCAUGAUGAAAAAUGCAGAUAUGUCAGAGGAUGUGCAACAGGACUUGCCAGAGCAAUACAGCACAGACGAUCUUGCAACCUAUGCGGAGAUGGAGUUUGACAAGAAGUACAUCCCAUUCUGGCAGUGCACCAUGAGGAGAACUGGAGAGAGUAAGUGAUACACGAAACCAAAUACUGUAUCUGCUUCUACCUGGGACAAGUGGUCAUUCACCUGUUCAAACCUAGUAAAAUGCUUGGACUGCGUCAUGUUUGUUGUGAUCAAUCUAAAAUAAGGACUGCAGCCUAAAUUCCAAAUACCAGAGAAUGAAAUCAUCAUCCUUGCUAAGAAAACACUUUGACCUCUGGACCUUUAUUAUGUUGCUUUGUAGAGGGCAUUCUCUGUACUAGUUUGUUUUUUUUUUCCCCCUCUCUCUCUUUCCUUUUUUUUUUUUCAUACUAGUUUGUUAUAGUUAUAAAACAAUUAGCAAAAUAAGUAAACAAACAAAAAAUCCCCCCCCAGAAACAAAAAACCAAAGAAACACUAAUCUGAAAGAUAUAUGCACGCCUGUGUUUAUUGCAUCAUUAUUUACAAUAGCCAAGAUAUGGAAGCAAGCCAAGUGUCCAUUAAUAGAUGAACGGAUAAAGAAGAUGUAAUGCGCACACACACACACACACACACACACACACACAAUGGAAUAUUUCUCAGCCAUAAAAAGAAUGAGAUCUUGCCAUUUGCGACAACAUGAAUGGACCUAGAGGGUAUUAUGCUAAGUGAGAUAAGGGAAGACAAAUACCAUAGGAUUUUGCUUAUAUGUAGAAUUAAAAAAAAAAUAAAUGAGCAAAAAAAGAAACAAACAAAAACAAUUUGGACUAUUAAAUACAGAGAACAAACUGAUGGGUGCCCUGGAGAAGGUGGGGAGGGAGAUGGGUAAAAUAGAGGCAAUUAACAAGUACAAGCUUCCAGUUAUAAAUUAAAAAAUUAAGCACAGAGAUGAAAAGUACAGGAUAGGGAAUCUAGUUAAUUUUUAAAAAUUAGCCAUAUUUUAAAAAUUAGAGGCAUUCCUGGGUAGCUCAGUCUAUUUAGUUUCCAACUCUUGAUUUUGGCUCAGGUCAUGAUCUCAUGGCUCGGUUGGUGGGUUCAAGCCCCACUUGGGGCUCUGCACUGACAGUGCUCCUCCGGUAGUGACUAACAUUACAAGCCAGUUACUGGAAGCUAAAUGUAGCCCAUAUUCACAUAGUAAUCUGUACGUGCUAUUCUUUUUUUAGUUGGAAGAUUUUCUAUUAAAAAAUUUUAGAUGUCAUGCUUCCUUGGAAAAUUGAAACUGACCGCCCUGAGCCCAUUCAUGCUAGGCAAUAGUCGACUGGAGUAGCAGCUUUCUCCAUUAGGUCUGCUCCCACCUGACUUCUUAGUUUACGUUCCCUGCCUCCUGUAGACAUUUUGUGUUUGACCACGCCACAGUCUCCAUUUCUCCACUAGAGGAGACACUAUCUUUCUACCAAUUAGAGAUAACUAAUGAGGGCUUAUAAAAUUUGUAACUGAUUGUAGACCUAUCAACAGAACUACAUUUUUAAAAGAUGGACAGUGAGAUGUGCAGUAUGUUGAGGUUUCACCCACAUUUUCUUCUUUGCAUCUCCACUGAUUCCUUUGAGCUCA